UACGAAGGGUGCAAGCGUUGUUCGGAAUUAUUGGGCGUAAAGCGCACGUAGGCGCCUUGUAAGUCUCACUGUGAAAGUCCGGGGCUCAACCCCGGGAUGCCAGGGGAUACUGCGAGGCUGGAGACAAGGCAGAGGUUGGGUAGGAAUUCCGGGGUGUUAGGCGGGUGGGAAAUGCGUAGAGAUCCGGAGGAAUACCAGAGGCGAAGGCGGCCACUGGGCUUGUUCUGACGCUGAGGUGGCGAAAACGUGGGGACGACGAGG
rnacentral:rRNA from 1 species